rnacentral:rRNA from 1 species
UACGAAGGGGGCUAGCGUUGCUCGGAAUCACUGGGCGUAAAGCGCACGUAGGCGGCUUACUAAGUCAGGGGUGAAAUCCUGGAGCUCAACUCCAGAACUGCCUUUGAUACUGGUGAGCUUGAGUCCGGAAGAGGUGAGUGGAACUGCGAGUGUAGAGGUGAAAUUCGUAGAUAUUCGCAAGAACACCAGUGGCGAAGGCGGCUCACUGGUCCGGUACUGACGCUGAGGUGCGAAAGCGCGGGGAGCAAACAGG